rnacentral:rRNA from 2 species
UUUAAAUGGCCGCAGUAUACUAACUGUGCAAAGGUAGCAUAAUCAUUAGUCUUUUAAUUGAAGGCUGGUAUGAAUGGUUGGACGAGAUAUUAACUGUUUCAUAAAAAUUUAUAUUAGAAUUUUAUUUUUUAGUCAAAAAGCUAAAAUUUAUUUAAAAGACGAGAAGACCCUAUAAAUCUUUAUAUUUAAAUUAUUAUAAUUUUAUAGAUUAUUUUUGUUAUAAUAAUUAAUAAUAUUUUAUUGGGGUGAUAUUAAAAUUUAAUAAACUUUUAAUUUUUAAAAUCAUUGAUUUAUGAAUAAUUGAUCCGUUAUUAACGAUUAAAAAAAUAAGUUACUUUAGGGAUAACAGCGUAAUUUUUUUGGAGAGUUCAUAUCGAUAAAAAAGAUUGCGACCUCGAUGUUGGAUUAAGAUAUAAUUUUAGGUGUAGCCGCUUAAAUUUUAAGUCUGUUCGACUUUUAA